CCUACGGGUGGCAGCAGUGAGGAAUAUUGGUCAAUGGGCGCAAGCCUGAACCAGCCAAGUCGCGUGAGGGAUGACGGUCCUAUGGAUUGUAAACCUCUUUUGUCGGGGAGCAAGGCCCGCCACGUGUGGCGGGAAGGAGAGUACCCGAAGAAAAAGCAUCGGCUAACUCCGUGCCAGCAGCCGCGGUAAUACGGAGGAUGCGAGCGUUAUCCGGAUUUAUUGGGUUUAAAGGGUGCGUAGGCCGGCUUUUAAGUCAGCUGUGAAAGUCCGCGGCUCAACCGUGGAAUUGCAGUUGAAACUGGAGGCCUUGAGUGCACACAGGGAUGCCGGAAUUCAUGGUGUAGCGGUGAAAUGCUUAGAUAUCAUGAAGAACUCCGAUCGCGAAGGCAAGUGUCCGGGGUGCAACUGACGCUGAGGCUCGAAAGUGCGGGUAUCAAACAGGAUUAGAUACCCGAGUAGUC
rnacentral:rRNA from 1 species